AAUCUUCCGCAAUGGACGAAAGUCUGACGGAGCAACGCCGCGUGAGUGAAGACGGUUUUCGGAUUGUAAAGCUCUGUCUUCCGGGACGAACGUCAUCUAUGUGAAUAAUGUAGAUGAAUGACGGUACCGGAGGAGGAAGCCACGGCUAACUACGUGCCAGCAGCCGCGGUAAUACGUAGGUGGCGAGCGUUGUCCGGAAUUAUUGGGCGUAAAGCGCGCGCAGGCGGGAAUCUAAGUCUGUCUUAAAAGUGCAGGGCUUAACCCUGUGAUGGGACAGAAACUGGAUUUCUUGAGUGCAGGAGAGGACAGUGGAAUUCCCAGUGUAGCGGUGAAAUGCGUAGAUAUUGGGAGGAACACCAGUGGCGAAGGCGACUGUCUGGACUGUGUCUGACGCUGAGGCGCGAAAGCCAGGGAAGUGAACGGG
rnacentral:rRNA from 1 species